rnacentral:rRNA from 1 species
CAGCCGUAAACAAUGUGCGUUAGGUGUGUCGGUAACCACGCGUUACUGAUGCGCCGAAGAGAAAUCGUGAAACGCACCACCUGGGAAGUACGGUCGCAAGGCUGAAACUUAAAGGAAUUGGCGGGGGAGCACCACAACAGGUGGAGCCUGCGGUUUAAUUUGGAUUCAACGCCGGACAUCUCACCGGAUAAGACAGCGGAAUGAUUGCCGGGCUGAAGACCCUGCAUGACCAGCUGAGAGGUGGUGCAUGGCGUAGUCGUGU